UCCUCCCUCCUGUUGCCUGUUUGUAGCGUUUCCCUCUUCAUAGCAGUUCUAUUUCAUUGUUCCUGACCGCCAGAGGCAGUUCUUAACAGUGGAUUAUAUCUGUCUUGUGCACGCGCAGGUCGAGUAUUUAAUAUCAACAAAGUCACGUGACCUGGGAUGACGCCUGACGUAGCUUAAAUAGCCCGCGUCAUCACGUGAGACGCCCCUUCUUCUCGCAGGUAUCCGCGAUGCAGGUUGUUUACAGAAGGAAGCCAAAAAACUUUUUGCUUGGAGCCCUGUAACCACAAUUGGAGCUACGGAAUUUCGUCCUCCAAGGGCUGCGAUUAGUUACAACGGCUACAUUGUGUCACCAUACCGAGCUGUCUGACCGGUGUUUUCGCUGGGGCUCUCGGCGCUUUACGGACUGGCUAAUGAUAGCUUGAAGUGGGACCGCUGAGAUCCUGCUCCUCAUGUUCUCCUUGUGUCAGCCCCACCCCGAUUACCCACACCUGUGUCUCAUUAUACACUGAUUGGCUGUAUGUUUAACCCCAGUGUGUGCUCCCUCGUGUUGCCUGUUGGUAGUGUUUCCCUCUUCAUAGGAGUUUUUUCUUAUAGCCUUAGGCCUAGUCCGCAUGUAGGCCCACACACACUUAGUUCUCACAAACAUCUUGGUCCACAUGCAAACCCAAAACACACUGUUUGGGCUGUCAUGAGCACACCAAGUCAAAAACAAUAUCCUUGACACGCUAAAAUGGUCUUACCAUUCCUCUGCAAUGACCACUUAAAGUUCUCCAUUCAAGAGAGUAACUGUAUGUGUAUUGUGUUAGCAUGUUAAAAGUCCAGUUAGCAAUGUUACCACCAGCACUGUUUGGUUAUGUCUGCCAUUGCACUAAACUCAUGUAAACAAAAGUGACAGCCUCGCACUAUCAUGACAAACAGGGGAGAAAAUUGGUGAUAUUUCCCCGUCUACACAUAAACCUUAAACAGAGUUUCUAAAAAUCAUCUCCCUGGAAGGAGUUUUCCAAAAGCCUUUAGCCGACUCCUCUGGAUUUGUUUGCCGACUCCUUUUUCCCUUGCUGUGUACCAAACAUUGGACUUCAUUAAAUAUUUAACCAUUUUGAAUGCUC